rnacentral:rRNA from 1 species
UACGUAGGGUGCGAGCGUUGUCCGGAAUUAUUGGGCGUAAAGAGCUCGUAGGCGGUUUGUCGCGUCUGCUGUGAAAACGCGAGGCUCAACCUCGCGCCUGCAGUGGGUACGGGCAGACUAGAGUGCGGUAGGGGAGAUUGGAAUUCCUGGUGUAGCGGUGGAAUGCGCAGAUAUCAGGAGGAACACCGAUGGCGAAAGGCAGAUCUCUGGGGCCGUUACUGACGCUGAGGAGCGAAAGCGUGGGGAGCGAACAGG